rnacentral:rRNA from 1 species
ACGGGAGGCCGCAGUGGGGAAUAUUGCACAAUGGGGGAAACCCUGAUGCAGCGACGCCGCGUGAGUGAAGAAGUAUUUCGGUAUGUAAAGCUCUAUCAGCAAGGAAGAAAAUGACGGUACUUGACUAAGAAGCCCCGGCUAACUGCGUGCCAGCAGCCGCGGUACUACGUAGGGUGCAAGCGUUAUCCGGAUUUCCUGGGUGUAAAGGGAGCGUAGACGGUAUGGCAAGUCUGAAGUGAAAUGCUGGGGCUCAACCCCAGAACUGCUUUGGAAACUGUCAAACUAGAGUGCAGGAGAGGUAAGUGGAAUUCCUAGUGUAGCGGUGAAAUGCGUAGAUAUUAGGAGGAACACCAGUGGCGAAGGCGGCUUACUGGACUGUAACUGACGUUGAGGCUCGAAAGCGUGGGGAGCAAACAGGAUUAGAUACCCUGGUA